rnacentral:rRNA from 1 species
GAUGAACGCUAGCGAUAGGCUUAACACGUGCAAGUCGAGGGGCAGCACAAGGUAGCUUGCUCUCUGGGUGGCGACCGGCGCACGGGUGCGUAACGCGUAUGCAACUUGCCCUAUACAGGAGGAUAACCCGUCGAAAGACGGACUAAUACUGCGUAUGCUCACAACUUGGCAUCAAGUGGUGAGGAAAGAAAUUCGGUAUAGGAUAGGCAUGCGUCCCAUUAGCUUGUUGGUGAGGUAACGGCUCACCAAGGCAACGAUGGGUAGGGGAACUGAGAGGUUUAUCCCCCACACUGGUACUGAGACACGGACCAGACUCCUACGGGAGGCAGCAGUGAGGAAUAUUGGUCAAUGGGCGCGAGCCUGAACCAGCCAAGUCGCGUGAAGGAUGACUGUCUUAUGGAUUGUAAACUUCUUUUAUACGGGAAUAACAAGAGUCACGUGUGACUCCCUGCAUGUACCGUAUGAAUAAGCAUCGGCUAACUCCGUG